UAGGGAAUCUUCCACAAUGGACGCAAGUCUGAUGGAGCAACGCCGCGUGAGUGAAGAAGGCUUUCGGGUCGUAAAACUCUGUUAUUGAAGAAGAACGUGCGUGACAGUAACUGGUCAUGCAGUGACGGUAUUCAAUCAGAAAGUCACGGCUAACUACGUGCCAGCAGCCGCGGUAAUACGUAGGUGGCAAGCGUUGUCCGGAUUUAUUGGGCGUAAAGCGAGUGCAGGCGGUCUUUUAAGUCUGAUGUGAAAGCCUUCGGCUUAACCGAAGAAGGGCAUCGGAAAA
rnacentral:rRNA from 1 species